UAAAAUCUAUCUCAACUUACUAAUUCAUUACAUGGCAUUUUGCCAAUGUUUUCUAAUGGUGGUCUGGUGGAAAAUUCAGCCUUUUUUUGUACUACAGCUAAUUUAUCAAUUCUAAAACAAUUUAUGUUGCCUGUAAAGGCAGAAUUCUGUUAUCGAGCAAGUUAGCUCCAGAUAGACUAGGGCAAAGCAAAGCAUGAGAUCUGAAAUAUGGAAACUUGGGAGUUUUUGUUUUGUUAUGCCAGUUAAAUUUCAGAUACUGAAUUUCUAAAAUAAAAACUUAUAUUUCUUUUAGCUUUCAAGUACCUCAGUUAUAAGAAUCUACUUGGUCAUCCAAGUAGAGAAAUUCUUUAAAUUUGAAAUUAUCUCAGAGAUCGUUCUAUAUACUCACCUAGGGCCAGGGAGAAGCCAGAUCUCAUAGGUUCCCAACUUUCUCAUUAAUGAUGUAUAGUUUUGUAAUUGAAGUCUUUUUUUCCACAUCACACACAGAAUAUGUGUAACAUAUUAAGAUUGUAUGGUUUGGGUGUCACAAUGGGAAAGGAACUCAACUUUAUUUUGUUUGCAUUUCUUUCUUCCUACAUUGGCAAUCACCUCUCCCCUUCUCCGUGAACUUUUCAUUAGGUCGCAGAAAAGACAAACCAUAGUGAACAAUGCAAGUCAAGUGUGGGCUUGUGGAAUUGUCUUUAAAUCUCCUGAAGGGAUUGAAACUGGAGAAUUGUUUUCAGUAGGGAAUUUGGUUAAACCAGAAUGAUGGCUGUCUAAAAAUUCUUGUUGGUUUUUAAUGUAAGCCAAAUAAUACAUUCUAUCCUCAGUUGUUUAAGUUAUGGGGUCAAAGUGAACAUAAAUAAAUUGGUUCCACCAAAUCCAUUCUUUUAUCAGUCUUUAAGACAAACAGAGGUUUACUAAACAUCUAUUACAUAGACCUACUUUCACUGGGAAUUUAAUUCCACUACCACUUUAUGAGUUACUUAUCUACAUGGUAUUUACAUUUUUCAGGUGGAGAAUCUGGCACCCAAAGAACAUUUUCCCAAUACAUAUGUGAUUAGUAAGAACUAGGGAUUCAAAUCUGGUUUGGUUAGGUUAGGGAUUCUAGAAACUAAAGUACUGCCUACUGACCCACUCUGCUUCCCAUAAAAAUAACUGGAUAUGAAGUCAAGGCAAAUAAUUUUUUAAAAAUCCUCUGCAUAAGCCAAGGUACUUCUUUGCCAAGCUCUGAAAUUGUAUCAUAUGCUCUUAUUUCAGAGAAAAAAAAACACUAAAUAUCAGCUCCUACUACAGUAGAUUAUGUAUUAGGGAGGGGUAAGACUAGGGUAAAACCCCAUAUGAAUGAGUGUCAAUAUGGCAUAUAAGUUGGUUCCAUGGAAAAACCUUUUCCAUUUUUGUUUAAGAUGUAUAAACACUGAUGUAGUGCCAUUUGCAAUUCUUUAUACCUUUUCAGAGUUCCUAAUCAUUUCCAGUUAUCUGCUUUCAUAACCAUUCCAUUUUUUCAUCCUGAAAUAUGAUGAAAGCACACAAACGACACAGUACAAUUGAGGGGCACACAGUGGGUCCUCAUCUUCAACACCCCAAAAUAAUAACAAAGACAAAGGGUACAGAGUCAUUGUAACACAACCUUGAUGGAGCUUAAACAUCUAGUGAAAUCUCUUGGAACUAAACUGAAGAAAGUCAUUCAUUAUAGCAAACGUUAGGAGCUUAGAAUUUUAAUGUUUUGUUUGCCAAUAACAAUUUGUGAUGCAUGACUAAUAUAGAUAUACUUCAGGAGAUAAAGUCUCAGUGUUAAAAACACACACCCUGCUUUCUUUUGUUUUUAUCUCUGGAUGAGACGUAGUGCAAUCCAGAGUGGACCAGAAAGAAGUAAUGAAGAAGAAUGAAAGGUUUUGGAAAGAAAGCAGGAAUGUGUUCAAUAUCUAAUUCUGUAUUAAACUCCCGAAGGACAUCCCUUAUAAAUCUUCUCCCAUAAUUUUCUUUCUCAUCCCUCCACCCCUUAAUUUUGUUUCUGAGCUCCUAACAAUUCUUGGCUCUUUAAUACCUGUGAGAGGGGAAAUGACUCUUGAUGUAACUGAGCAGCCUGGAAAGUUCCGAACCAUCAAAAGGAAGGCCAGAGGGCUGGCUCCCUUUCCGCAGCCCCCUCCCCCAUCAGUCCUCUGGCUUGAGGAAGUGCUUAUUGGAACAUUCCGAUUUCCCUAAGCAAACGCUUUCCCCUCACAUCCCUUUCUCUUUUAUUCCUUUUUAUUUUCUUUAAUUAAGCAAGCAAAUUGGCCACGCCAGUGGAAUUCAGCUCACACCAGUUCCGUCCCUUUCCAUUUUCAGUCUGUUCUGCGCAAAUAAAAUACACUAGAUCUCAUCAGGCACCUAGAAUUUUAGACAUUUGUCUAUUUAAUCCUGACUCCACUCCAUCAAGAAGCCAGCAUGUAUAAAAACAAAAUCUGGCUUUUCGCAACGCCUGCCCCAGGCUUGGGUUCCCAGCAAUCGUUACAAGAUACAGCCCUAGUCGGAAACUCCCAGCCCUGCUGAGGGAGAAAAACGGGGUUUUCCAAAGACCUGUCCCUCGGGGUUUAAAAGCGGGUCCCCAGGGAACUUCGCUUUCAGUUCUCCAGGAAGUUCGGAGCUGCUAGAACUCAGCCACUUGCUGAACCCAGGCUGCCUAUCCUUUUGAUCAUAUAAUCUGUGAUUGUGGCAUUCUGUCAAACAUUUGAAUAGAAUCCAUUUUUCCAUCAUCAUCAUCAUCAUCAUCAUCAUCAGUACCAGCCUCACCAUCAUCACUAUUCUACAAUGAGCACCAAGAUCUCACAUUCCGGAGGAAGAUAUUUCAAUGUAGAUUAUAGCUUUUUUAAUUUAAACUUUUUUGAAAUGCAAAUAUGAAAAUUAUAUUGUAUUCAUCCACCAGAGGGAGCCUCCAAAUCUACUGUCUAAAAGGAAAUAAGGCUGAAAUAAAUAAGUGGAAAUUUUGUACAUUU